rnacentral:rRNA from 1 species
UGGGGAAUAUUCCACAAUGGGGGAAACCCUGAUGCAGCGAUGCCGCGUGAGCGAAGAAGGUUUUCGAAUCGUAAAGCUCUGUCCUAUGAGAAGAUAAUGAUGGCAUCAUAGGAGGAAGCCCCGGCUAAAUACGUGCCAGCAGCCGCGGCAAUACGUAGGGGGCUAGCGUCAUCCGGAUUUACUGGGCGUAAAGGGUGCGUAGGUGGUCCUUCAAGUCGGUGGUUAAAGGCUACGGCUCAACCGUAGUAAGCCGCCGAAACUGGAGGACUUGAGUGCAGUAGAGGAAAGUGGAAUUCCCAGUGUAGCGGUGAAAUGCGUAGAUAUUGGGAGGAACACCAGUGGCGAAGGCGGCUUUCUGGACUGCAACUGACACUGAGGCACGAAAGCGUGGGUAGCAAACAGG